GUGCUCACUUCGGCAGCACAUAUACUAAAACUGGAAUGAUACAGAGAAAAUUAGCAUGGCCCCUGCACAAGGAUGACAUGCAAAUUCAUGAAGCGUUCCAUAUUUGU
rnacentral:snRNA from 1 species